UUCUGCUGGGCUAACUCUCCAACAUGACCUUUCUACAUUCUUCUGGUCUCUGGGAUCAUCAUCACUUCAUAGAUGCCGCUCAUAGCUCUCUUACAGCUAGGCUGUGUUUCAGAUAGGAACAUGACAUCAUGGAGAGCAUGCAAGAGGGUUGGAUUUCAGUGAGGAAGGGUGGACAAGGUCACCUGCCUCCUUUUCCCUCCAGAGCCAUCUGGGUCCAGUGGGAAAAUAUAUAAAUCAACAAGAAUGCAGAUAGCCCUGAAUGCAAUGGGAGACUUUAGUUUAAUAAACAUUCUGUAAGUGA